AACAGGAUUAGAUACCCUGGUAGUCCACGCCGUAAACGAUGUCGACUUGGAGGCUGUUCCCUUGAGGAGUGGCUUCCGGAGCUAACGCGUUAAGUCGACCGCCUGGGGAGUACGGCCGCAAGGUUAAAACUCAAAUGAAUUGACGGGGGCCCGCACAAGCGGUGGAGCAUGUGGUUUAAUUCGAUGCAACGCGAAGAACCUUACCUACUCUUGACAUCCAGAGAAUUUAGCAGAGAUGCUUUGGUGCCUUCGGGAACUCUGAGACAGGUGCUGCAUGGCUGUCGUCAGCUCGUGUUGUGAAAUGUUGGGUUAAGUCCCGCAACGAGCGCAACCCUUAUCCUUUGUUGCCAGCGGUUCGGCCGGGAACUCAAAGGAGACUGCCAGUGAUAAACUGGAGGAAGGUGGGGAUGACGUCAAGUCAUCAUGGCCCUUACGAGUAGGGCUACACACGUGCUACAAUGGCGUAUACAAAGAGAAGCGACCUCGCGAGAGCAAGCGGACCUCAUAAAGUACGUCGUAGUCCGGAUUGGAGUCUGCAACUCGACUCCAUGAAGUCGGAAUCGCUAGUAAUCGUAGAUCAGAAUGCUACGGUGAAUACGUUCCCGGGCCUUGUACACACCGCCCGUCACACCAUGGGAGUGGGUUGCAAAAGAAGUAGGUAGCUUAACCUUCGGGAGGGCGCUUACCACUUUGUGAUUCAUGACUGGGGUGAAGUCGUAACAAGGUAACC
rnacentral:rRNA from 1 species